GAGCGGUAGAGAGAAGCUUGCUUCUCUUGAGAGCGGCGGACGGGUGAGUAAUGCCUAGGAAUCUGCCUAGUGGUGGGGGAUAACGUUCGGAAACGGACGCUAAUACCGCAUACGUCCUACGGGAGAAAGCGGGGGACCUUCGGGCCUCGCGCCAUUAGAUGAGCCUAGGUCGGAUUAGCUAGUUGGUGGGGUAAAGGCUCACCAAGGCGACGAUCCGUAACUGGUCUGAGAGGAUGAUCAGUCACACUGGAACUGAGACACGGUCCAGACUCCUACGGGAGGCAGCAGUGGGGAAUAUUGGACAAUGGGCGAAAGCCUGAUCCAGCCAUGCCGCGUGUGUGAAGAAGGUCUUCGGAUUGUAAAGCACUUUAAGUUGGGAGGAAGGGUAGUAACUUAAUACGUUGCUACUUUGACGUUACCGACAGAAUAAGCACCGGCUAACUUCGUGCCAGCAGCCGCGGUAAUACGAAGGGUGCAAGCGUUAAUCGGAAUUACUGGGCGUAAAGCGCGCGUAGGUGGUUCAGUAAGUUGGAAGUGAAAUCCCCGGGCUCAACCUGGGAACUGCUUUCAAAACUGCUGAGCUAGAGUACGGUAGAGGGUGGUGGAAUUUCCUGUGUAGCGGUGAAAUGCGUAGAUAUAGGAAGGAACACCAGUGGCGAAGGCGACCACCUGGACUGGUACUGACACUGAGGUGCGAAAGCGUGGGGAGCAAACAGGAUU
rnacentral:rRNA from 1 species